GCACGAAGUGGGAAAACAGAGAAUCUGCCUCCUUUCGAAACGGGUCAUUCCAGGACUGUAAAUUGCAUAUGAAUGCUUAAACCCCCAAAACCCAAAUCCUGCAUCUUCUUCUGAGGCUCGUCUGUGCCUCUCAACUGUCGCAGUCUUUCUUCUUCUUUCAGCUUCAAAAGACGUCACAAUGGAGAGAAAGGCUUGUGACAGUGACAGUGAGUUCAAGGACGAUGGCGAUUUCGACAACGAUGAAUGGAGCAGGAAGAGGGGGGGAGGAGGAAAAUGGUGAUGGGCAAAACGAUAAUAAUGAUGCCGAGAUGGAAGAACGCGAGAAAAAAUACAUCAAUCUUCGUCAUCAGGAGCAGGAAGAGAGACUCUGUUCACAAUCCUUUUAUGCUUAAUUAUAAACCUGUGAUGCUUAAUUAGAAUGAAGAUAUAGAGCUAAAUAAUGUGAAUAUAAGAGAUAAUAUGCAUAGCAGUUGGGGGUUAGUGACGAAAUUUGAUAUUAACUUCAUACUGCAUAUGUUCAUGUAUUGCUUCUCCUAAUACAUAUCCUGUUCUCUAGGUAACUCUGAACAAUCUAAGAAGUCACAAUCAUCUAAGAACAUUGACAGUGAUGGUGAUGUGACGAGGAUUGGUCCCGGAUUUCUUAGUUGCUGUCGAGAAUAGCUACUUUCAAAAACAAAUUGAUAGACAAAUGACAGAGGAAGACAGAGGUGACCACAGGCGCUACUGCUAUUGAAAGCGAGCUGCAUGCUUUUAAUCAGAAUAUUAGUGAACAACUUGCUUCUUAUAUAGAAGACCCAAGCAGAAUGGUUGGGCAGAUGCAGAUGUGGAAAUUAGCAGUUGCUGUAUUUGGCACUGUUCCUGUGGGGGAGACCACUGCAAAGGGAAAGGUGACAUAAUCUGAUGCUGGUGCACAAGUUGAUGGUGACCCCGAACUUUUGGAUGACUCUGAGUUAUACCAGACAUUACUGAAGGAAUUUUUUGAGACAAUUGACCCAGCAUCUUCUGAGACAGCCGUUCCUCCUAAUGCUUCCUGACAAUAAUAAUUCGGGUUGAAGAAGCAGAAACCUGCUCCGUAGUGUAGUAGCGAUGCAAGGCUGAGCCAACUCUAUAGUCCUUAGAUCUCGGGCUAAGAAAUUGUUUGCUGUUUAUUUAUUUGAUAUAUUAUUCAAUUUAAUCUGUUAUACUUAUUCACACAAUUUUUCAGUGGGAGUCGAAUCUUUAAGAAGCAUGAUUUUGUAGUAAAUGACAAUUAAGAUGGCCGAGUCUUUAAGAAGCAUGAUUUUGUUGUAAAUGACAAUAAGAUCUGUAACUUUGACAUUUAUAAGCAAAUAGGAUGUUUUUGCUUUCCAA